rnacentral:lncRNA from 1 species
CCCCCCCCCCCCCCCCCCCCCCCCCCCCCCCCCCCCCCCCCCCUCCCACUACGCGUAAACACGUUGUACUGGGAGCCUCCCAGUGCCAUCUGAAGGCAAUUUACUCCCAGCGCGUCCACACUGUAGCAUCAAACGGCCGGUGACAACACAGCAGCGGUGUAAUGGUCCAGCCCACAUAUGUUCACGUCCGCUAAGAGGAUCCAGGAUCCAGGAAUACACAUCUAAAGGAGAGACAGCUAUCAAUCAAUCACCAGUCGGCGGAGAGGAGGACAAAAGAGGCGGGAGGCGAUCCAAGUUCAUAAAAUGG